UGCUGCAGUUCACAGUUCACAGACCUGAGUUCUGUGAACUGUGAACUGCAGCAGU
ensembl:miRNA